rnacentral:lncRNA from 1 species
AUCUUAGAGAGAAGGUGAAGGGUUUUAGAGAGAAGGAAGAGAAAAUGGAGUUCUGAAGUUUUGGAGAAGAAGAUUGUAUGCAGAGAAAAUGAUGCCGAAUUUAAAAUUCCAACUUUUAUACCACCUCCAAAAAUCGAACGGUCGAGUCUCAUGCUGCCACAUGGUUCCACUUUCUGAAUUGCUGCACUCCAUGAGCUGUCACUUGGAUUCCACUUCUUGCACAUCUCACCUCCUCUGCUGCC